UAUUAAAUAUUAUUUCUUAUCUAGUCAAAGUCGAUAUGAAUUCAAUAUAGAAAAAAAUAGAAUUUCAAAUCAAUAUUGAAUAUUAUAGAACACAACGAUUAAUAGAGCGAUAUAGAAUUUCUAUUUAUUUAUCACUAAUACAAUUCGAAUAUUAUUAAAUUUGAUAUAUCUUUUAUUAUUUUUGAGUUUUAGAUAAUUAACCUUUUGUUUUGGAAUUCAAAUGACUUUUGAACUUCUUUUUAUUGUAUUAUUUUAUUUAAUUCUAUAUCUUUUUUUCGAAUUACGAAUGGUUGGUUAUUAACUAAUGAGCCAUUACCCACCUUCAGUCAUAAAGAGGUAAGUAGGAAAGGCGGAAAUUAAGACGACAAAAAGAGAAUCGACCCUUCAAGUAUUCCAAAUUACAUCGAAAAUGUGGCAGGUAGAUAUCUAGGAUAUAUAUCCAUCUAUAUUGAAUUACAGAUACAGAAAUGGUACAAUCAUAGUCGAUUGGAUCAAAUCCAAAUAUGGU
rnacentral:precursor_RNA from 1 species